AUGGCGGCGGCGGCGGCGCGAGUGGUUGCCCUCGCGUGCGUCCUCUCCCUCGUCCUCUCCGCGCAGGCGGAGGCUCCCUACAGGUUCUUCGACUGGGAGGUCACCUAUGGCGACAUCAAUCCGCUCGGAGGAGUUCCGCAGCAGGGUAUUCUGAUCAACGGGCAGUUUCCGGGGCCGGAGGUCGACUGCCAGACGAACGACAACCUGGUCAUCAACGUGCGCAACCGGCUGCCGGAGCCGUUCCUGCUUUCAUGGAACGGGAUCCAGCAAAGGAAGAACUCGUGGCAGGACGGCGUGUCCGGUACCAACUGCCCGAUCCCUCCUGGCCAGAACUACACGUACCACAUGCAGGCCAAGGACCAGAUCGGCAGCUUCUUCUACUUCCCGUCGCUCGCCUUCCACAAGGCGGCCGGCGGCUUCGGCGCCAUCCGCAUCAACAGCCGCCCGCGGAUCCCCGUCCCCUUCCCCCCACCGGCCGACGAGUUCACCGUGCUCAUCGGCGACUGGUACAACACUACCCACAAGGCUCUCCAAGCCAUGCUGGACGACGGGAAGCUGCUCCCUUCCCCUGACGCUAUCCUGAUCAACGGUAAGGGCCCGGGGCGCGCCAACUUCACGGUGGAGCAGGGGAAGACGUACAGGCUGCGCAUCUCCAAUGUCGGCCUGCGGAGCACGCUCAACUUCAUGAUCCAGGACCACAACGUAACGCUCGUGGAGGUGGAGGGCACCCACACGGUGCAGAACACCUACACCUCCCUCGACGUCCACGCCGGCCAGUCGCUCUCCGUGCUCUUCACCGCCGACCGCCCCGCCAGGAGCUACCACAUCGCCGUCUCGUCGCGGUUCACCAACCAGACCCUCAACUCCACCGCCGUGCUGCGCUACGCCGGCUCGACCGGCCCCGUCUCCGGGCCGCUGCGUGCCGGGAACCAGAGUGACGUUGACUUUUCACUGAACCAGGCUCGCUCCAUCAGGACGAACCUGACGGCGAGUGGGCCGCGGCCGAACCCGCAGGGCUCGUACCACUACGGCUCGAUCAACGUGAGCCGCACCAUCCGGCUGGCCAACUCGGCGGGGCAGGUCGGCGGCAAGCCGAGGUACGGCGUGAACGGCGUGUCGUACGUGGACGCCGACACGCCCCUCAAACUGGCCGACUACUACAACAUCAGCGGCGUGUUCCGGAUGGACGGCAUCCCGGACGCGCCCGCGGCCACCCACAGCGGGACGCAGAACGGGACCGGCGCCGACGCGGCGCUUAAGAACCAGACGGCCGUCAUGGACUCCGACCACCGCAGCUUCGUCGAGGUCGUGUUCGAGAACAGCGAGGACAGCGUCCAGAGCUGGCACCUCGACGGCUACAGCGUCUUCGUCGUCGGGAUGGACAAGGGGGCGUGGAGCGAGGAGAGCAGGAAAGGCUACAACCUCGUGGAUGCAGUCACGAGGUGCACGGUGCAGGUGUAUCCAAGAGGGUGGACGGCGAUCUUCAUCGCGCUGGACAACGUGGGGAUGUGGAACGUGAGGUCGGAGGAUUGGGUGCGCAGGUACCUGGGCCAGCAGUUCUACCUCCGGGUGUACACGCCGACGCACUCCGUCCGCGACGAGCUCCCCGUGCCGACCAACGCGAUCCUCUGCGGCCGCGCUACCAACAAGAGCCGCCUGCCAUUCUCUCAGUAG
rnacentral:rRNA from 1 species